GACGAACGCUGGCGGCGUGCUUAACACAUGCAAGUCGAACGGAAAGGCCCUGCUUUUGUGGGGUGCUCGAGUGGCGAACGGGUGAGUAACACGUGAGUAACCUGCCCUUGACUUUGGGAUAACUUCAGGAAACUGGGGCUAAUACCGGAUAGGAGCUCCUGCUGCAUGGUGGGGGUUGGAAAGUUUCGGCGGUUGGGGAUGGACUCGCGGCUUAUCAGCUUGUUGGUGGGGUAGUGGCUUACCAAGGCUUUGACGGGUAGCCGGCCUGAGAGGGUGACCGGCCACAUUGGGACUGAGAUACGGCCCAGACUCCUACGGGAGGCAGCAGUGGGGAAUAUUGCACGAUGGGCGGAAGCCUGAUGCAGCAUCGCCGCGUGCGGGAUGACGGCCUUCGGGUUGUAAACCGCUUUCGCCUGUGACGAAGCGUGAGUGACGGUAAUGGGUAAAGAAGCACCGGCUAACUACGUG
rnacentral:rRNA from 1 species